CAUACGGGAGGCAGCAGUGGGGAAUAUUGCGCAAUGGGAGCAAGCCUGACGCAGCAACGCCGCGUGAGGGAAGAAGGUCUUCGGAUCGUAAACCUCGGUGUGGAGGGAAGAACGGCAUGGGGUUGAACGGGGUAAGUGAUGGACGGUACCUCCGAAGGAAGCACCGGUUAACUCCUCGUCAGCAGCCGCGGUACUAUGGAGGGUGCGAGCGUUUUUUGCAAUUACUGGGCGUAAAGGGCGUGUAGGCGGCUUUGUAAGUCAGAUGUGAAAGCCCCCGGCUUAACCGUGGAACUGCAUUUGAAACAGCUUGGUUAGACUACGGGAGAGGGUGGCGGAAUUUCCCGUGUAGGCAGAAAUCCGUAGAUAUCGGGAGGAACCCCAGUGGAGAAGGCGGCCACCCGGACCGUAACUGACGAGGAGACGCGAAAGCGUGGGGAGCAAACAGGAUUAGAUACCCCAGUAGUCC
rnacentral:rRNA from 1 species